rnacentral:rRNA from 1 species
UACGUAGGGGGCAAGCGUUGUCCGGAAUCAUUGGGCGUAAAGAGCGUGUAGGCGGCCAGAUAAGUCCGCUGUGAAAUCUCGAGGCUCAACUUCGAGCUGUCGGUGGAAACUGUCUGGCUAGAGUCCGGAAGAGGAGAAUGGAAUUCCUGGUGUAGCGGUGAAAUGCGCAGAUAUCAGGAAGAACACCCGUGGCGAAGGCGGUUCUCUGGGACGGUACUGACGCUGAGACGCGAAAGCGUGGGGAGCGAACCGG